AUUGAACGCUGGCGGCAGGCUUAACACAUGCAAGUCGAGCGGUAACAGAGAGAAGCUUGCUUCUCUGCUGACGAGCGGCGGACGGGUGAGUAAUGCCUAGGAAUCUGCCUAGUAGUGGGGGAUAACUUGCCGAAAGGUAAGCUAAUACCGCAUACGUCCUACGGGAGAAAGGAGGGGACCUUCGGGCCUUUCGCUAUUAGAUGAGCCUAGGUCGGAUUAGUUAGUUGGUGAGGUAAUGGCUCACCAAGACCGCGAUCCGUAACUGGUCUGAGAGGAUGAUCAGUCACACUGGAACUGAGACACGGUCCAGACUCCUACGGGAGGCAGCAGUGGGGAAUAUUGGACAAUGGGGGGAACCCUGAUCCAGCCAUACCGCGUGUGUGAAGAAGGUCUUAGGAUUGUAAGGCACUUUAAGUUGGGAGGAAGAGCAGUUAACUAAUAUUUGACUGUUUUGACGUUACCGACAGAAUAAGCACCGGCCAACUUCGUGCCAGCCGCCGCAGUAA
rnacentral:rRNA from 1 species